GAUGCUGUCAGUCCACAGAAACAUCUUGGGCACCACUGCCAAUGGAUAGGUGGAGCGUAUACAUUCAGCUGGUUUGAUUAUGAACUGUUUGCUCCAUUCCACAGAUGAGGAUGAAUGCCACUGAAUGACCACCCCAAAAUUAUUGGACCUAUCCAAUUGGAAGCUACCUUCGUACCCCUCAACCUGGUUUGGCUCCAAGUAAGGGAAAGUCAAACUUCACACAUGAAGAGGAAGAACGCACGGAAAUCAACCCUAAUUCUUCUCAACUUGGCAAAAAUAAAUUUUCCAGAGACUGUGAAGUCCAGGGAAUAGCUAAUUCUUUUGAUCUCCUCGCCAACGUUACUGCCUGUGGAACUGCCGGAAAUGAAGAAACGGCUGUGAUGGUGACUCUGCGUCUUCAGGGUGUUCAAUCAGCAGCAUACGGUGCAGCUCAGAAACAAAGCACAGAGUGGAA